GAUGAACGCUGGCGGCGUGCCUAAUACAUGCAAGUCGAGCGAACGGACGAGAAGCUUGCUUCUCUGAUGUUAGCGGCGGACGGGUGAGUAACACGUGGAUAACCUACCUAUAAGACUGGGAUAACUUCGGGAAACCGGAGCUAAUACCGGAUAAUAUUUUGAACCGCAUGGUUCAAAAGUGAAAGACGGUCUUGCUGUCACUUAUAGAUGGAUCUGCGCUGCAUUAGCUAGUUGGUAAGGUAACGGCUUACCAAGGCAACGAUGCAUAGCCGACCUGAGAGGGUGAUCGGCCACACUGGAACUUAGACACGGUCCAGACUCCUACGGGAGGCAGCAGUAGGGAAUCUUCCGCAAUGGGCGAAAGCCUGACGGAGCAACGCCGCGUGAGUGAUGAAGGUCUUCGGAUCGUAAAACUCUGUUAUUAGUGAAGAACAUAUGUGUAAGGAACUGUGCACAGCUUGACGGUACCUAAUCAGAAAGCCACGGCUAACUACGUG
rnacentral:rRNA from 1 species